GGAGGUAGUGACAAUAAAUCUCAAUACGAAGCCUUUGGUUUUGUAAUUGAAUUGAGAACAAUGUACAAUCGUUAUCGAUAAACAAUUGGAGGGCAAGUCUGGUGCCAGCAGCCGCGGUAAUUCCAGCUCCAAUAGCGUAUAUUAACGUUGUUGCAGUUAAAAAGCUCGUAGUUGAAGUUUAGAUAAUUUGUUGAGAGUGUUAGUAUUCGUACUAUCUGCCCUCAAUAGAUUAUCGACUUCCAGGUAAGUAUAAUGUACCUUUCGGGGUUCGUUAUACCAGACUGGUCUUUUACUGUGAGAAAAUUAGAGUGUUUAAAGCAGACUUUUAUUUAGUUUGAAUAGAUUAGCAUGGAAUAAUAAGAUUGGCUUUCAUAGUCGAUUUUUUGGUUUGUUUAUGAAAGCAAGAUUAAUAGGGACAGUUGGGGGUAUUCAUAUUCAAUAGCUAGAGGUGAAAUUCUAUGAUUUAUGGAAGAUGAACAAGUGCGAAAGCA
rnacentral:rRNA from 1 species